rnacentral:rRNA from 1 species
AGGUAAUACUUCUUAAGAAACCUUUAUUCUUUGGCAGCCCGUUAUCUCCUCAGAGGAACUCGUUGGAUAAUCGACUUUACUCGCUCAAUUUCACUAAUUUUAAUGUUUUUAUACCGUCGUCUUAAGAAUAUUUUUAUAUUCUCCUUUCUAAAUAGUUUUCUAAUAAGUCAGAUCAAGGUGAAACCCAUAAAUUUGCACCUUAUAAGUUACUCAUUAAAAUUAUUAAAGAAUUUUGUAUAAAAAUAUAAAUGAAAAAGGAUUUGAAAGUAAUUUUUUAUUAUAAUUGAAAAAUGAAAUAGCAAAACAGGUGU